UAAGCUCCAGGAGUGCGCUCCAGUGCGUCUGCGCGGUCGCCGCGGCUCUGGGCUGCGGGACUCCGGGGCUUCGCUGCAGUGCGUCUGCGCGGCCGCCGCGGCUCCGGGCUGCUAAGCUCCAGGAGAGCGCUCCAGUGCGUCUGCGCGGCCGCCGCGGCUCUGGACUGCCGGACUCCGGGGCUGCGCUCCAGUGCGUCUGCGCGGCCGCCGCGGCUCCGGGCUGCAGGGCUCCAGGGCUUGCAGGGCUCCGGGGCUGCGCUCCAGUGCGGCUCCGGGCUGCAGGGCUCCAGGGAGACCCCGCCCGCCCGCGCUCUCCGCCUUCCUCCAGGGCCUUCUGAAACUGUAUCCAUCAAGCUACCUACUGAAAACAACCAACCAACCAUUUUGAGGAUAUCAUUGCUAGAUUGGUAACACCCUGAGGAAAGGAAAUAAGUCUCAAUCUUGUGUUUAUCCCAUGGCUUUUAUAGCAGGGGAAGGAACACAGGCCUGAACCUUGGGAUCUUUGUUGACGCUUCCCAUCAGUCAUCCCACCACUAUUUAUGGAGCAGCUAAUAAGGACCACGCAUCGCGGUUAAAGAAUGAAUGAAACACAAUCCCCGCUCCCAAAGAGCAUACCGGUCGGUCGUCCGAGGCACCCGGUAGCAUUCAUUCCUCAUGUAUCUCUCCUCGUAGAUAGCUCUCUUCCGAGUGUCUGGUGCAGGCCCCCACCGCCUGGACAGCGGUCUUGUAAGUGGUCCCUCUGGGGAUGGCCGAAGCUCAGGUCACCAUCUCACAGCCGUCACGAGAUGAGAUCGAGCCCCGCGUCGGGCUCCUUGCUCACUGAGGAGCCGGCCUUGGAUUCUUUCUUCCUCCCCCUCUGCCCAUCCCACUCACUCUCAGUCUCUAAGAAAUAAAU